CUUGUUGUUGGAGAGUCUGCACAGAAUUUGUAAGUGUUUCCAUCAUCUUUUCAAGGUGCUGAUUGGAACUUGAAGGUGCUGGUUGGAACUUGAAGGUGCUGGUUGGGCUUGGUCUCUUUGGUAAUUUUGGUAAUUCUGAUUGUUGUUGGCUCUUCCAUAGCUGAAAUUGGGAUGGUCUCUCCAACCUGGAUUGUAUGUUUUGGAAUAUGGAUCAUAUCUAGGCUGAUUGUUGUAUCCUCCAAUGGCAUUGGCUUGCUGGUGGUCUUCUUGAAGAGUAGGACAUUGAUCAGUUGGAUGUCCUACAUAAGCACAAAUCCCACAUGGCCUAGGUGGCUGGGUUGCUUGCAUUUGUUGGACUUGGCCAAGGGUGAUCUUUUCUACAAGAGAAGUUAGUUUUGAAAUUUGAGAUUCAACAGAGGAUGUACUUACCUCAUGGAUUCCUCUUUGCUUUUCUUCUCCAUAUUGCCUAGAUGAAGCUGCAAGAGUGGAUAUUAGUUCCUUCAUCUCCCUAGGCGUUUUGUCUGCAAUGGAUCCUCCACAAGCUACGUCAAUGAAUCUCC
rnacentral:lncRNA from 1 species